GUGGGACACCGUAGACCGCUAACACAUAACCACUCCACGUUUUUUAACGAGAGAGAGAGAGAGAGAGAGAGAGAGAGAGAGAGAGAGAGAGAGAGAGAAUAGCAAUUGAUCGAAGAGAGUGAUUAAGGUUACAGGUGCUUAUUCAGGGAGGAACUUUGUGUUUCUCGUAUCUGAAGAUUUGGAUAGAGGAGUAACAAUAUUUGGUUUUUUCUUAUUCUGAGAUCCCCUGACGAAUUGAGAAAUGGACAAAGAACAAGAACUGAAGUGGCUUGAAGCUUAGAAGAUUGUAAUAAACAAGGAUGUUGUGGUUGUAGCCAAACAACAACUAUAGUUUCUUGCAACUGUUGAUCGUAGUUGUUGCCUCUACGAAGGCCUUGUUCUUUCAUAGUCACUUGAACUGUUAUUUAUAUAUGUUGACACUUCAUAGUUGUACUUGAGGUUUCAAUUGGAAAGGACUUGGAAAGAGCAAAUGACAUUCCCAUAGGUGGACAUUCAUUAUUAGAGAAAUGUAUCAACAGUUCAAUCCAUUCCAUUUGUUUAAACAAAAUGUAUCAUGGAAAAGUAGAUUUAUUCAUAGAUGAGCCCUUGCCUAUAUAAACUAGAGAGAAGAAAAAGAACAACUACAAGCAUCGACAGAUUCCUCCUCUCCCCUCUUUUGCUUCUCCUUUUCUGGAAGCUUCUUCUUUCCAUGAUGAUUCUGGGAUGUCAGAUAUGUGGACCAUUGAUCUAGUGACUCUCUUCUUCCUCUCUGAACAUUUGUACUUGAAGUUUUAGCAAUCUAUGUCUCUAUAGAUGGGAGUGGAAGUUUUGAUCAUUGAUUUGUUGAACAAGGACAAUAUUUGUAAUGUUUAGAUAAACUCUUCCUUUCCGCUGAAGACCUUUCUUUGUUCAGUUGUUCUUUUAUAGACUUAUUUCCUUAAUAAAAAAGAUAUAAAAAUCUUAUUCUUUCAGUUA